ACCGAUGAACAUGACAAAGAAAAACAAAAAUCAGCUAAGAAAACAGUAAAGAGGAAGACCAAUGAUCCACUAGGGAGGCAAAAUGAUUAGAGAAUAAAAGCAAUGGCUUUUAUUUCAACUGGAUGUGCAUGAACUGAACUGGAUUUGUUAUUCUAAAACUGAAACCAGAAGACACGCCGAAAUUUGAGCCUUCGCUCUGAAACCCAGCUGAGCCAACGCAAGGCUGCUUUCAUCAGUCAGCAGCGGUUUUGUAGUUUUUCACUUCAUCCUAGAUUCUGGCAAAGACAGAGCGGCUCUAUGCGUCACCUACAACACCAAAUCCGACACAGAACUAGCCUUCGUUUCAACUAUUGCACAAGACGACAGAGAAAUGGAUUAUCAAGAAGCAAGCCGUUACCCAAUAUCUGGGCUCCCUUCCAUGAGUCAGAGUGGAGCAGUCUAGCGCUUUCAAGGUGGCAACAGGAGGCAAUACCAGAAAGUCACACCAUCCUCUGCUUCUAUCAGCGCUGAAAAACUAUGUAAUUGAUGAUUCAAAGGACUCACUUUCAAACGGUAGAGGGAACAAAAAAUUUAAAAAAGCCAAGUGAAACAGACUUUAUGUUGGACAAAGAUGACAUCCGUGGAUUGAACGCCCACGUGCCUGCCCUCCAGUUCACCUCCUCACCUAUGCACACCUGGGUUUUCAGCACCGUUGGGAAUGGCCUUCUCCAGCCCUCUCCUCUAAUCCCACAGCUGUCCUGCAUUUACAGGAUGGUCCUGAAGCCACUGAACUGAAAG